UACGGAGGAUCCAAGCGUUAUCCGGAAUCAUUGGGUUUAAAGGGUCCGUAGGCGGUUUAAUAAGUCAGUGGUGAAAGCCCAUCGCUCAACGGUGGAACGGCCAUUGACACUGUUAAACUUGAAUUAUUAGGAAGUAACUAGAAUAUGUAGUGUAGCGGUGAAAUGCUUAGAGAUUACAUGGAAGUACCAAUUGCGAAGGCAGGUUACUACUAAUGGAUUGACGCUGAUGGACGAAAGCGUGGGUAGCGAACAGG
rnacentral:rRNA from 1 species